UACCUUAAUCAUUUGACGUUACCUACAGAAGAAGCACCGGCUAACUCCGUGCCAGCAGCCGCGGUAAUACGGAGGGUGCAAGCGUUAAUCGGAAUUACUGGGCGUAAAGCGCAUGCAGGUGGUUUGUUAAGUCAGAUGUGAAAGCCCUGGGCUCAACCUAGGAAUCGCAUUUGAAACUGACAAGCUAGAGUACUGUAGAGGG
rnacentral:rRNA from 1 species